rnacentral:tRNA from 1 species
UGGGUCUUUCGUCUAAUUGGUUAAGGCACCUGUCUCAUAAACAGGAUAAUCUCGGUUCAAGUCCGGGAGGACCCAU